GAUGAACGCUGGCGGCGUGCCUAAUACAUGCAAGUCGAACGCUGGAGAUCUAGCUUGCUAGAUCGAAGGAGUGGCGAACGGGUGAGUAAUACAUAAGCAACCUACCCACGAAGACUGGGAUAAUCUCUGGAAACGGGGACUAAUACCGGAUAGGUAAUCGGAAGCCAUCUUCUGGUUAUUAAAGGUUAAAAACACUGGUGGAUGGGCUUAUGGCGCAUUAGUUAGUUGGUGAGGUAACGGCCCACCAAGACGAUGAUGCGUAGCCGGACUGAGAGGGUGAACGGCCACAUUGGGACUGAGACACGGCCCAGACUCCUACGGGAGGCAGCAGUAGGGAAUUUUCGGCAAUGGGGGCAACCCUGACCGAGCAACGCCGCGUGAGUGAAGACGGCCUUCGGGUUGUAAAGCUCUGUGGUAAGGGAAGAACGGUAGAUAGAGAAUAUCUAAGUGACGGUACCUUACCAGAAAGCCACGGCUAACUACGUG
rnacentral:rRNA from 1 species